GUAAGGAAUAUUGGGCAAUGGGCGCAAGCCUGACCCAGCCAUGCCGCGUGCAGGAAUACAGUCCUAUGGACUUUAAACUGCUUUUAUUAUAGAGUAACCUGGGGGACGUGUCCCCCACUGCAAGUAUAUAAUGAAUAAGCAUCGGCUAACUCCGUGCCAGCAGCCGCGGUAAUACGGGGGAUGCAAGCGUUAUCCGGAUUUAUUGGGUUUAAAGGGUGCGCAGGCUGAUCGGUAAGUCAUGGGUGAAAAGUCACUGCUUAACAGUGAUCGUGCCUAUGAUACUGCCGGACUAGAGUUUAAGAGGUGUAACUGGAAUGUGAUGUGUAGCGGUGAAAUGCUUAGAUAUGUCACAGAACGCCAAUCGUGAAGACAGGUUACAAACUUAAUACUGACGCUCAUGCACGAAAGCGUGGGGAUCAAACAGGAUUAGAUACCCCGGUAGUCC
rnacentral:rRNA from 1 species